rnacentral:lncRNA from 1 species
UGGGACCAAUUAAAGAAGGGAGAGACUGAAGGCAGAGAUCAAUGAGGAAGUGACUAUUUUAGUGCAGGUGAAAGGAAAUAUUCAGACAAAGUGUUCUUUGAAAAUUUGAAGAUAAAAGGACACACUGAUCCUUCUGGUCUGCCUGGCUCGAGCACAGCCCGUGGAAUGUUGAGUUUGUUCGAUGGAAUAAAGACAGCUAAACCAAGCCAAUGGAUAAAAGAAAUUAAAUGGGUCAGAGAGGGAAAACAUGGCGCCCCACCCACAGUCCACCAUCUCUCCUUGAAGUUUUUCAUCAUCAGUCAAGGAAGCCUUUCUCAUUGUCCCCUGCUGUAAUGCUUUCCCAUCAAAGGUUCCAUCUACUCUUUCUGUGGCUUGCAUAGAGCUUAUUUAUUCGUGUUUGGUCUCCCACUCCAGAAUUCAAGCUCCUUGAAGGUAAGGACUGAUUCUGCUUUCUCUUUGUAUCACCAGUGCUUACCACAGGGCCUGGUGCACAGUAAGCCUUUAAUAAGCUUCUCUGGAUUGAUUGAUUGAUUGAUUGAUUGAUCGAUCCAGCAAAACUUUGUUCCAGAUCUCAUGAUCUAUAAUUUUAUGAUUUGAUAAAUGAAUCGGCGUAAUGAGAAGGCAUCUGGAACCAAGUUCGAGCAUUCUCUUCUAGAAAUGAAAAGUGCACAACGGCUGUUCUAGAAUAAUUC